UGGCAGGAAAGGGUGGGGGAGAAAAGAACGAGAGGAUAUAUCAAGACAGGAAGGAAAAGGAGGGUUAGCAAAAGAGCUGAGGUGCCUGCAUGACGCAUGAAAACGGGAGACGGAGGGAGGAAUAGAAGUAAGAGGGAAAGAGAAUGAUGGAGCUACUGACCCAGGAGGGAGAGAAGGAGAGAUGUGGGGAAAGGACACAGAAGAGAUGCGGAUCACUGGGGCACCCAGUGAGAGCCAAGCCGGGAUGUGGGGCUCGAUGGAGAAUGACAGGUGGCCGGCUCUACAUGCAUGGAAUCCAGCCAGGCACAGCCCAAAGACGUUAAAUGGGUCCCCCUUCCAAUGGUAUCACCACCCGUGGGAAGGGCCAAGGGAGUCAGCUGCAUAUUGAGCGAGGCGGCGGCCAAAAGUAGCGACCUUGGCGGGCUGAUCUACGGCUGAAGAAGCUGGCUCUAGGGACUUGGAAUCUCACUUUUCAGGCAGGGAAGUGGAAUGACAUUGUGUGUAAGGUUGUAAAGCUCAGACUAGAUAGUCGGGCUUGCCUCGACACACAGCUUGGGCCCUGGUACCAGUCCUUAAAAGAGGGGUUGCACUCUCUUCCUCUCUAGUGUUACCCCAGAUGAAAGGCACCGAACAGCUGUGGGCAUACAAUACUUACUGCAACCUGGUACCUGUAUGUUCACCCUGGUAGACGAGAGCGUAGUCUCCCUCCACCUUAGGGAGGGGGGACAGGUUCUCACUUUAGCCAGCUCAGAGUACACAGCCUUUUUUGAGUCCUUAAAGGCGAUGCUGGAGAGUACUCCCACUGGGGACUUCUUCAUCCUGCUGGGGAUCUUCAAUGCUCACAUGGCCAAUGUCAACGAGACCUGGAAGGGCAUGAUAGGGAGGAAAGCCUCCCCAACUAGAGGCCGAAGGGUGUCUGCUAUUGGACUUCUGUGCUUGUCCCGGAUUGUCCAUCAUGAACACCAUGUAUAACUAUAAGGAUGUCCAUUUGUGCACUUGGCACAAUAACAUCCUAAGCUACAGUUUGUGGCAGUGUCAUCAGACUAGUGUCUACAUGUCUUGACCACUUAGGGGAAGAGAGGGGAGAGCGCUCUACUGAUCAUCACCUGGUGGUGUGUUUGCGACGACGGUGGGGAAAGAUGGUGGUCCAACGAAGACAUUGAGGAGGUCUGGUUUGGUGGCCUCAGUAUUACAUGUCUGCUUUGAGCAGAUGGUGUGGUUCUGUUGGCUUUAUCACGGUGCAAUAUGCAACGCUCGCUGGAGCAGUUCAUAGCUGAGUGUGAAGUGCUUGGCAUGAGAAUCAGCACCUCCAAAUCUGAAGCCAUUGUCCGCUGUCUGAAAAGGGUGGAGUGCCCUCUCCAGGUUUGGGAUGACAUCCUGCCCCAAGUGGAGGAGUUCGUGUAUCUUGGGGUCUUGUUAAAAAGUGACGAAAAAAUGGAGUGGGGGAUUGACAGGCCCAUUGGUUCAGCAUCUGCAAUGAUGGGGACUCUGCAUCGGGCUGUCUUGGUGAAGAAGUUGCUGACCCAAAAGGCGAAGCUAUAUAUUUACCGGUCAAUCUUUGUUUCCAUCCUCACCUAUGGUCACGAGCCGUGGGUCAUGACUCAAAGAACAAGAUCAAACAAAGAAAAUGAGUUUGCUCCACGGGGUGUAGUGACUCUUUUCUUUAGAGAUAAAGGUGGGAAGCUAGGUCAUCUGUGAGGGGCUCAGAGUAACGCCGCAUUGAGAGGAGCCAAAUAAUGUGGCUCAGGCAUCUGGCAAGGAUGCUUCCUAGACACCUCCCUGGUAAUGUGCUCCUGGAACGUCCCACUGAAAGGAGGCCCAGGAGACGACCCAGGACACGCUGGAGAGACUAUGCCUCCUGGCUGGCCUGGGAACCCCUGGAAGAGCAGUAUAGGGUGGCUGAGGAGAAGAAAGUCUGGGCUUCCCUUCAAAAGCUGACCCUGGAUAUGUGGAAGAUGGAUGGAUUGGAUAUGUGGACGAUGGAUGGAUGGAUGGAUGGACAGACGGACGGCCAAUCAGCUUGCUCUGAUGGAUCAUCUCCUAUGCUGCUCACAGCCCACCAGUGUAGAUCUGUUGGACACAAUCCUAUGGAGAGGCAUUUCAGUCACCUCAUGCUCCGACAUUUCCCAGCAGCCCUGCACUCCCAGGUCUCUUGUCUCCUUCAGAACAAACUGCAUCGCCAGCUUUGGGUUUGGAGCAACAUCGACUAGCAGCUCCACAUGACGGUCCGAAAAGAGACACUGGCGGCCAAAGUCACUGCGGAGCUUCACAUAUUCAUGAACAAUCUCCAUCCCGCUGAGAGAAGACUCCAAAGAAGGUCAGAAAGGUAAUAAUGAUAGCACUGUCUUGUGACUGCAGAUAUGGGAAUGAGAUUAUUUUA